AAGGGCUAGCCGGGGUGGCAUUGCUGGAGGCACGGGAGGCCGACGACGUAAUUCUAGGGCAGUGCUGUCGAGUGUGAAGGAGAAUCGAGUGAAGAAAGAUUUGAGGGGGAGAGAGAGAUGUUUGUUGAUUAGGAAGGGCUUGUUUGGAGCUCCGACUGUUGGGGCUUGCUGUCGGAGGUCAGGGAUAAUGGCAGCACAGGUGGGGUGGUGUGCAACUGGCGGCUGGUGCAUUGAAAGGGAGAGAGAGGAGGGAUUAGGGUUAAUGAAACCCUAAGUUGCAUUAUAUUAAGGGUUUGCAAAUUUGUAGAGGAGUCCCUUUUAACUUGAUAUUUUCUUCCCAAACCCCCAUACUGUAUUCUCUCUCAUUUCCCCAACUUUGAAAUAUAUAUAAAUUCAACUUUCUUUUGAAUCUAAAAUUUUUAUUUUAUUUACUAAAUUCAAAUUUACAAUUUUCACGAAACACAUCGUCGAUAUAG
rnacentral:lncRNA from 1 species